AAUUUAAAUUUCAUUUAUUUGAAAAAUACCACCAGCUUUUCAGUUAAAAACAAAUUUCUACAGACUUAAUCUUAAUUUUCUUCUCAGCAUUCUACAUGAAUUUGACCUCAACAGAAUGGUUAUCCUUUUGAUUUGCAUGUGAGUACAUGUAUGAGCAGUCACACUCAUGCUUUAAAAACAUUCCGGGGGGGGGGGGGGGGGGACUAAAAGCAAAAAUAAACUUCCCUAGUUUAGCUAUGACUCUACAUGUAAAUAAUUUCACAAUUCAUGGUUCAGAGUGGACAUCAGUGGUACAAGUGCUUGCCUAGAAUGCAGAUGGCUCUGAGUUUAUUUAUUCUCAAGCCAACAAAUGACAAUAUAACAAACAAAACUCAAUGAACUUUAAAGCCACACUCGAAAUGACUAAUUUUGACUUUCAGUAAUUACUGAAUUAUAAUAUUGUAAGAUACUGUAAAAUGUCAAAAAACUCUUGCAUAGCUCAUCGGUGUAAUAAGUAAUCCCUGCCCACUUUCCAAAAAGAGAACACUGUUGUCACUUUGUGUUGAGUCACAGAAAUUCUUAUGUAGGUAAAAGUCUCCUCAAUGUUUAUUUAGAUAGUAAAUCUUCUUUAGGUGAAAACUUUUUUGUGUAAACUAUGCCUUUCUUUUCAUAAUUAAAUUGUAUCCUACUCUGCACAGCAAAGAAAAUAAUAGUUCCUUGAACUUAAAAGACUUGAGGUUCUCGUCACCAUGAAUUACUUGUUCCUGUAUAAGCUGCCGUUCUGCCUCUGCUAAAAAAUACUUAGUAAAGCAAUAAGCAAACAGGAAACAAACCGUAAGCUAUAAUACUAAUUAAUAAUGAAAUAUAUUAAAUGUUGUUUAAAUAUUAAACAGCAAAAUACUCCUUAAAUAAAUAAGAUUUGAAUUUGUCAUUUGGGGAUAUAGGCCAGUAUCACCAAUGUGAGAGAUGUUCUAGUGCAAAGAGUGGCCUCAAAAAACCGCAUCCAUACAUACACAAAUCAGCCAUAGAUGAAGAGGAGAAAGCAAGACCCUUAAUGCUGACACUACUUCCAGUAAUGUAAAUAGGUGAAUCCUACCUCUUUCUCAAAAAGAAGUUUUUCUGGAAAACUUUUGAAAAUUAUAUUUUUAAUUGUUUCCAAAUGGUGAGUUUCUGUUUAAAAACUGUAUAUUUUUUCUUACUGUUACUCAGAAGAUUAUAUAAGAGAACCUUCCUUAAGUAAAGCUGACAGGAGUACCUCCAUUAAGAACUCACAGGAAGCUGAACUUAAUACUGUGUACUUCAUUUUCAUUAAGUUAUCUAUUGCUUCUCAUGCCCUAUAAUUUUGUAUUCUCAAACUGUAAUAUCAAAUAAAGGCAAAACUGUUUUAAUGGACUUAUGCUGAAAAAAUCAUCCACUUACACAUGUAACUACGGAAUGCCUAAGUAUGCAAAGCAUUGUGUUAGCUGCUACUGCUGAACUGAGUCACAAGAGAAUAAAGAAUGACUGGUAGAGCAUAGUGGAUUUUUUAAAAAUUUGUUUUAUAAUUAUUCAUUAUAAAAUUUCAUAAACCUAUUUAAGGGUCCAAAAUGUUGAGUAAUUAUUUUAAUUUAUGUCCAUGUCUAUGUAUAGGUAAGGAAACAAAAACUAUGAUACAGAAGGAAGAAGAGCUUCUAAGAAAAGGUGAGGUAGAACAAGAGAAAGAAAUAGAUAUGUGAUAGCAAAAAAAAAAAAAAAA
ensembl:lncRNA